AUUCAAGUCGAACGGGGCAGCAAUGCCUAGUGGCGGACGGGUGAGUAACGCGUGAGCAACCUGCCCUUGCUGGGGGAUACCAUCUGGAAACGGAUGUUAAUACCGCAUAAAGUACAGGCGACCGCAUGGUCGUAGUACCAAAGAUUUAUUGCGCAAGGAUGGGCUCGCGUCCCAUUAGAUAGUUGGUGAGGUAACGGCCCACCAAGUCAGCGAUGGGUAGCCGGACUGAGAGGUUGAACGGCCACAUUGGAACUGAGACACGGUCCAAACUCC
rnacentral:rRNA from 1 species